UUUUUUUAAUUUUUUUUUCUUUUUUUUUUUCUUUUUGUCUUUUUUGUUGUUGUUGUUGUUGUUGUUGUUGCUAUUUCUUGGGCCGCUGCCGCGGCAUAUGGAAGUUCCCAGGCUAGGGGUUGAAUCCGAGCUGUAGCCACCAGCCUACGCCAGAGCCACAGCAACGCGGGAUCCGAGCCGUGUCUGCAACCUACACCACAGCUCACGGCAACGCCGGAUCGUUAACCCACUGAGCAAGGGCAGGGACCGAACCCGCAACCUCAUGGUUCCUAGUCGGAUUCGUUAACCACUGCGCCACGACGGGAACUCCAAGACAACUUUUUCACACCUACCAGAUUGGCAAAAAUUAACUGUCUCCUCCUACUGGCACUUAGAACCAUCUCUCCUGAAUACUUUGUUAAAUCCUAUUUUCAUUUUAGGUUUUCUCUCCUUGAGGGGAAGCAUUUAAUCCAGAUUAGGGAUUUCGUGUGAUCACGGGAUUUUUUUUGAGUGUGUUCUUUAUUUUACCCUCUACAAAACAUAUUUUACCCUCUACAAAACAUUAAAAAAAAAAAAAAAACUCCCUCCUUCAGGGAAGUAAUUCUUAUUUUUGCCUUUAUUGUCAUAAUUGAUGUUCUUAUUGGUAUUUUAGAUCUCUCUUCAUUCUAGACAGUGUACCAUUUCAGAUGUUUCUGUGUACAUUAAUUAUUCUAGUUGUUUGUUUAACUUUUAGGCUGUAAAGUUCACAAAGUUCCUUAAACAUGCCUGAUUUCAACUGCAGCAGCUUUAGAAUCAGAUGAGUUUUUGACCCUCACUCACAUUUGAUUUCAUGAAGCUUCUCUUUCAGCUAGCAGGAGCAUAAAGACCAAAAUAAUAGUUGGGGUGGGGGAUAGGAUUUUAAUUAAAUUAGUCUUGUAUUUCAUAGCCAUUAUGCCUUCAAUAUAGAAAGAGAAUAGGUAUUUAUUAUAGCUUUACAGAUGGAGCAUUGCCUUUUAUACCUGACCAAAUCAAAAAGGUGUUCAUGAUCAUUUAGUCCUUAGAAUUUGUUAAAAUACUAUUAGGACUAGACCCUUAUAGCCUAACCCAACAAUAUAGUAUACUCUGUUCUUAAAGCCCUUCCCCAUACUCUAGGAUUGAUUUUUCUUGGGGUCAUGGAAGUAGUCUUUCUUACUUGUGUUUCUGGAUCAUUAUUUUCCAUUGUGGGAAGCUAGUUUCUCAAACUGAUUGAUGAGAAUGAAGUUUCUUUGUUAAAAUAGUUGGGAAAUGCUGCUCUGUAACUCUCUUUCUAACCCACUCUAAGAUGGAGACUGAAUGAUAGCUUAUAAAGGUCCAGGAACAGUCCCGUAUUAUAAGGCUGAGGGAACCUAAAUUUCAUUUAACUCAGCAAUUCCUAAAUAUUCCUGAAUAUUGGUACCUUUUCCCAUGGCAUACCUAUUUAUACUGGGAAGAAUAGUCCUCACAAAGUGCAACUCUAAAAUAAAUACCAGUAGUAUACCACUAAUGUAAACUAACUUUGCAGUUCUUAAUCCCAGACGGCUGGCUCCUAACAUUUUCAGACUCUCUUUUAUUUGAUUACUACCUUCUCCCUGAAUUAUGUUAUAUUCCCUUAUUGACUACAACACAAAUGGUUUAUCAUCUAUGCCUGUGAUCCUUGGUUUGAAGCGAAGGACAGUGGGCUAUUAGCUUAGUGACUUCUUUUGGUAGAGACAGAUAUUGGGAUACUGAUCACUUUAUUCUAGUAGGAUAUAGAAAAGGAGUUAUUCUGCAUGUAUCAUGAAGGCAGUCUACUCAGAAGAUGGACAGUUUUAUAUACUUUUUAAGGAAUUAAUAUAAUUAAAGAGUAGCAGAUGACCUGUUUUGUCUCUGCUUGAUCACCUCUGAAGCAGUUGUCAAACUUACUGGUAUCCUUUUAAGUAUUAUAGCCCAUGAGGCAUAUUGUCAUGCACCUACACUGUCUAGUUCACUAGCCACUACACGUGGCUACUGAGCACUUGAAAUAUGGCUAAAACAUAUUUAGCUGUAUUAAGUAUAAAAAUACAUGCUGGUUGUCAAAGAUUUAGUAGUAUGAAAAAAGAAUCUGAAAUAUUUUAAUUUUUGUAUUUAAAUACUGAAAUGGUAUGGAAUUAAUUUUAUCUUUUUUUUACUACUUAAUUUGACUACCACAUAACUUAAGAUUACUUUUGUGGCUUGUAUUAUAUUUCUAUUACAUAGCGAGACUAUAAAUAACUUUUCCCAUGACCUGGCAGGACUUGAACACUGAACUUCAUUAUUUAGGUUUUGAUAAAGCUUUCUGGCCCACGGAAGAAUUCUGUUUUUGUUUUGAAAACUUUUGACCUAAGAUCAAAUGGUCCUUCUUCGUCCCUUAAGUCUCUUUGAAGUAUCACAGGAAAGAUUAUGACCAGAUCUUCCUAUACAGAAUCAUACUGUAGGCGUAAAGAAAAAAAUGAAAAAUCUGGACCUUUCUGAUUGUAUCAUUAAUAAAUUAUUUAACUUAUUUCCAUUGAUAACUGUUUUUCCUUUAAAAUAUAUCAGUCUUGGGAGUUCCUGCUGUGGCUCAGCAGAAACAAACCUGACUAGUAUCCAUAAGAAUGCCGGUUCUAUCCCUGGUGCUGCUCCUUGGGUUAAGGAGCCAGCACUGCUGCAAGCUGUGUAGAUCACAGAUGCAGCUCGGUUCUGGUGUUGUUGUGGUGUCGGCCAACAGCUGCAGCUGUGAUUUGACCUCUAGCCUUGGAACUUCCACAUGCCGCGGGUGCAGCC
ensembl:lncRNA